rnacentral:rRNA from 1 species
UACGUAGGGUGCGAGCGUUAAUCGGAAUUACUGGGCGUAAAGUGUGCGCAGGCGGCGUUGCAAGUCGAGUGUGAAAGCCCCGGGCUUAACUUGGGAAUUGCGCUCGAAACUACGGUGCUGGAGUGUGGCAGAGGGAGGUGGAAUUCCACGUGUAGCGGUGAAAUGCGUAGAGAUGUGGAGGAACACCGAUGGCGAAGGCAGCCUCCUGGGCCAACACUGACGCUCAUGCACGAAAGCGUGGGGAGCAAACAGG